CAACAACAGUGACUGGGACGGGCUACUUGGCUCUCCAACUGCGGCCUUUAAAUGGCGCUUAAACGGAUCCAGAAGGAGUUGAAGGAACUAGAGGCCCAAAGAUCAUUAUUAUAUUCUGCAGGACCAAGAGAAAAUGACAUGCAUCACUGGGAAGGCUCCAUGCUGGG